rnacentral:rRNA from 1 species
GAUGUUGGGUUAAGUCCCGCAACGAGCGCAAUCCUCGUCCUUAGUUGCCACCAUUUAGUUGGGCACUCUAAGGAAACUGCCGGUGCUAAGCCGGAGGAAGGUGGGGAUGACGUCAAGUCCUCAUGGCCCUUACACCCUGGGCUACACACGUGCUACAAUGGCGGUGACAGUGGGCAGCUACUUCGCGAGAAGAUGCUAAUCUCUAAAAACCGUCUCAGUUCGGAUUGUUCUCUGCAACUCGAGAGCAUGAAGGCGGAAUCGCUAGUAAUCGCGGAUCAGCAUGCCGCGGUGAAUACGUUCCCAGGCCUUGUACACACCGCCCGUCA